rnacentral:rRNA from 1 species
CCUACGGGGGGCAGCAGUGAGGAAUAUUGGUCAAUGGGCGCGAGCCUGAACCAGCCAAGUCGCGUGAGGGAAGACGGUCCUAUGGAUUGUAAACCUCUUUUGUCGGGGAGCAAAAGACGCCACGCGUGGCGUUCCGAGAGUACCCGAAGAAAAAGCAUCGGCUAACUCCGUGCCAGCCGCCGCGGUAAUACGGAGGAUGCGAGCGUUAUCCGGAUUUAUUGGGGUUAAGGGGGGCGUAGGCGGGACCUUAAGUCAGCGGUAAAAUUGCGGUGCUCAACGCCGUAGAGCCGUUGAAACUGGGGUUCUUGAGUGAGCGAGAAGUAGGCGGAAUGCGUGGUGUAGCGGUGAAAUGCAUAGAUAUCACGCAGAACCCCGAUUGCGAAGGCAGCAUACCGGCGCUCAACUGACGCUGAGGCACGAAAGUGCGGGUAUCGAACAGGAUUAGAUACCCGAGUAGUC